UAUUACUACUUUUUGGAGACUGAACCUUU
rnacentral:piRNA from 2 species